ACAUGCAAGUCGAACGGUAACAGGAAACAGCUUGCUGUUUCGCUGACGAGUGGCGGACGGGUGAGUAAUGUCUGGGAAACUGCCUGAUGGAGGGGGAUAACUACUGGAAACGGUAGCUAAUACCGCAUAACGUCGCAAGACCAAAGAGGGGGACCCUCGGGCCUCUUGCCAUCGGAUGUGCCCAGAUGGGAUUAGCUUGUUGGUGGGGUAACGGCUCACCAAGGCGACGAUCCCUAGCUGGUCUGAGAGGAUGACCAGCCACACUGGAACUGAGACACGGUCCAGACUCCUACGGGAGGCAGCAGUGGGGAAUAUUGCACAAUGGGCGCAAGCCUGAUGCAGCCAUGCCGCGUGUAUGAAGAAGGCCUUCGGGUUGUAAAGUACUUUCAGCGGGGAGGAAGGGAGUAAAGUUAAUACCUUUGCUCAUUGACGUUACCCGCAGAAGAAGCACCGGCUAACUCCGUGCCAGCAGCCGCGGUAAUACGGAGGGUGCAAGCGUUAAUCGGAAUUACUGGGCGUAAAGCGCACGCAGGCGGUUUGUUAAGUCAGAUGUGAAAUCCCCGGGCUCAACCUGGGAACUGCAUCUGAUACUGGCAAGCUUGAGUCUCGUAGAGGGGGGUAGAAUUCCAGGUGUAGCGGUGAAAUGCGUAGAGAUCUGGAGGAAUACCG
rnacentral:rRNA from 1 species